rnacentral:sRNA from 1 species
UAAAAAUACAAAAAUUAGCCAGGCAGGGUGGCGCGUGCCUGUAAUCCCAGCUGCUCGGAAGGCUGGGCAGAAUCCCUUGAACCCGGGAGGCAAAGGUUGCAGUGAGCCGAGAUGAUGCCACUGCCCUCCAGCCUGGGUGACAGAGCAAAAAAAAAAAAAAAAGAAUGAGUGCUUCAAGCUGCAACCACGGAGCUCAUCAGCAGAUGGCUGGGUGAGCCCCUCCAGACUCCGAAUAGGAGAUCAAGAGUUUGAUUCAUUGCCUGCUUUACUGGAAUUCUACAAAAUACACUAUUUGGACACUACAACGUUGAUAGAACCAGUUUCCAGAUCCAGGCAGGGUAGUGGAGUGAUUCUCAGGCAGGAGGAGGCAGAGUAUGUGCGAGCCCUCUUUGACUUUAAUGGGAAUGAUGAGGAAGAUCUUCCCUUUAAGAAAGGAGACAUCUUGAGAAUCCGGGACAAGCCUGAAGAGCAGUGGUGGAAUGCGGAGGACAGCGAAGGCAAGAGAGGGAUGAUUCCAGUCCCUUACGUCGAGAAGUAUAGACCUGCCUCCGCCUCAGUAUCGGCUCUGAUUGGAGGUCGGUGAGCUGGUAAAGGUUACGAAGAUUAAUGUGAGUGGUCAGUGGGAAGGGGAGUGUAAUGGCAAACGAGGUCACUUCCCAUUCACACAUGUCCGUCUGCUGGAUCAACAGAAUCCCGAUGAGGACUUCAGCUGAGUAUAGUUCAACAGUUUUGCUGACAGAUGGGAACAAUCUUUUUUUUUUUUCCAACUGCCAUCUAUACAAUUUUCUUACAGAUGUCCAAAGCAGUCUAGUUUAUAUAAGCAUUCU